ensembl:lncRNA
CUGGGGUCAUAGGGAGGUCAGCAAGGAACCUUCACAGAAAAUGCUGAAUGGACAAACUGAGGUCCAGAGAAAGUCAACAGAAGAAGACAGGAAGUCCAAGAAGGGAGAGAACGGGGAGCCAAUGUCUGAGGCAAAUCCCACCCCAGGGUUGACAGGGACUCCGAUUCAUUCAGUGGGUCUCCACGAAGUGCCUGCAAAAAGACUAUGACUGUUACAAGGGCCCAAAGCCACACCCCCCCAGUGCUCCUCAGUGUGACUUGGAGGCGUGGUAGCCUGAUUUUGGUGCAGUGGUGAUAUUCAUAAAGAGGGAGUCUGGGACUGCAGCCUGGAUCAAAAGGGGACAUUUAAAGUGCAUUUGAGAGUUUUUUAUAGAAGAGAAAGACUAUGUAAGUUGUUGAAAUUAAAAAGCGAGUGUUGGGUGGGCUAUGGCAGUCGAUAAAGGGCCGAGCACUUUCUGCCGCAGCAUUGCUUAUGGGACUGUCCCCAAAAGCUUUGCAAGAGAAAAAGAGGAGAGGGUGGCUGACAGAGCCUCAGGAACUCAGCUGAGUCAGCAGGCAAAGAUACAAGCAAUCCCGCAGCCUAGCUGGACCCUCAUAUGAAGUGGGUGAGUUACCCCUCUUCCAUUUAAUACACCCCACGGAGGAGCCCAGAAUCUCAGAGGGGACUCCCUUGGGUUAUCUAAGGAGGAAAUCCAGUCCUAAAUAGGGCUGCUUUCCCUUGAACAGAGGCUUCCAGGUGAUGAGCUCCACUUGAACGGCAACAGUCUGGAGGCAAGGCCACGCAUGUCACGCUGACUUCCUCCGGUCAAUCAGCAUCCCCACCCCUUUCACAUGAGAGGGUGGUGCCGUGGCCUUGACUGGGCUUCUCUGCUGCCCCUUUCUCUAGCGUCCCCCACUGCUUCUCAAAGUGGGGCAGUGCUGUUUGCCUUGAAAGCUUCAAAGGCUGGCUGGUUAGCAGUCAGCUGCAACCCAUCAAGGGCUGAUUAGGCAUUUGAAAAGGUGGAGCCUUUUUAACACAAUGAUUGACAACGGCUUCUAUCUCACACACCUGCUGCUUUAAACCCCCCAUAAAAUGUCAGCAGGGAGUGUAAGCGAUAUACAGCAGUAGCGCUGCCGGGGCAGGAAUGUUAAGUGCUAGGAGAUGGGAGUCUCGGAACCUCAGCUACUGGAGAGAAAACAAAGCAAGCCCCAAUCUAAUCCAUUUCUAAAGUGAGAACCAUCAGGACACAUCUCACCAGUCCAGCUUUGCUGCCCCCGGACAGGGUUCAGCACUGGCAGUCACCGUCAAGCCCUGAGUUGUGGUUACUGAGUGACUGCCACAAGACCGUCUCUGCCCAAUGCGUGGCCAGCACCUGAGGACCAGAUCAGCUAGCCCCAGAGUCAUUUCUGGCCACCAGGGCCCAGGCCUGUGCUGACCCGGAUGUGCGGCAGAGCCAGGCGCCUGCCCUCGGGCAGCUGCUGCUUGGCGGGGGCGCGGGCGCUGCAUAAACACAGAAGAGCGUCACUGCUUGUGAUGACUGCGUGCCGGAGAGCAGCAGUGCCCACCGAAGAGUGUGGCGGGAAACCUAAUCCCUGUGGGACCCAUGAAUGGAAACCCCAUUGGCUAUCAAAGCCAGGUGAUUCAGGGACCUAUAUCUGGGGCAGCAGCCACAAAAGCUGGAGCACCAGAUCCCUUUGGAAAUAUGGCAAAAGCUAUGGGUCCUCAAAAGUGAGUUACCAGUCACACAAGCAGAGUCAACGCAGUGAGAACUACAAGAAAGCCAAGGGCAAAAUGAAAGGACUUGAUUUUUGUUGGCUAUUGUUUAUGUCAGGAAGUAUGCUGGGCACUUUUUACGUUAAACACUCAACUGUUAUUAUGUCCAACCAUCUCAUUCAAUCUUUAAGCUCUGUUAAGUUCAUUUUACAUAAAAGUUAACUCAAAGGUUUAAGUGAUUUGGUGAAAGUCACACACAGAGCCUGAAAGAUAUAUGGGUAGGGUUUUGAGCCACUUCUCUACGCUGGGGAGGAAAAUUGCAGGGAAGCAGAGAUGAGGGAAAAGGAGGAGUGAGGCAGAGGAGGAAAAGAGGUGAGGGGGGCAUUCUGAGCUGCCACAGCUUGGCAAGGAACCUAUUCCCUGGUCUUCUGGCAUCUUCAGAAAGGCUGAAGCUGCUGUGCCUCCAAACUGUCUGUCUGGAAGAAAGUAUGUCUCCGUCAGCUCCCGCCUCCCACCAGUCAGGGAUGGCCCCGAGGAGUAUUAACUCUCUGGUACUUGUAGGUUGUUCAACUGAAGAUGUUAGGAAGUUGGGCAUGUGAUGGCUCGCUGUGCUGUGAAAGCCCUAAGGCAGAAGGCAAUAGGCUAGUGGUUUGGGCACUGAUAGAGCAAGCCCUCAAGGGACCUGAGGAAUUAGGAGAAAUUGCCUCUGCUCCUGAUGGCUCUGCAGGGCCCUCUGUUUGUAGCAGCAGCAGUCCAAGAUCACGGGACUCAAGCAAGUCUUCUCUAGGCCUGCACUGGUCAGAAAGCAUGUGAGGGGCAGAUCCUGGCUGGGGCGUAAUCUGAAUCCCCUACAGUUACGGUACGUGGGCUGGCUCUACCUUUGAACUGUUCCUACGAUGUUCCAACUGGAAUCAGCACUGACAGGAAGGGUUAACUGGAACACUAUGAACAUCUUUUACGUUUUGAAGGUCAGGUGCCAUUUCGUAAGGCGUGAUGUUUCCCUUUAGAUGAUUUCAACAUUUUAAAAGCUGUUUAUUAUUCUCAUUGCAGAAACAGAGAAAGUUUGGAAAAAUAUCUAAAAGAGUAAGAAAAAAAAUAAAAAUCACUCAUAUCAACAAUACCUAGAAGUAACCAUGGGUAGUAUUAUGUGUAUGUGAGCACAUAAGAAAUAAAGCCAGGUAUUAUAUCAAUGUUAGGUGAUAAAUGAAGAAAAACUGCAUGCAAGCAGUAUGUUGGGUAAAUAUUUUUAAAAACUAUCUUAUUGUGGUAAAGUGUAUAUAACAAAAGAAGUCAUUUUAGCCAUUUUUUAAAGAGUAGAUAAUUCAGUGGCAUUAAUACCCCUUCUACUGUUCCUAUCCCCAUUGCUAUAGGACACAAUUGGCAUGUCUCUUGGAGAUUCCAUGCCUUGACAACAGCACAAGGUCACUUGAGUAACCACAGCCUGAUAAGAGUGAAGUGGUGAAGGCUCAGCGAUGCAGAAUGGGAAUCUGCUGAGGGGCACUAGAAGUUCCAAGGGAUGUGGGAGGGGCACCGAGAGCCUCUUCUUGACUUCUGUGGGGUCCUCCGAGAAUAAGGAAAGGAUCUCUCUUGCUUAAAUCACAGCCCAGAGGUCUUUAAGGCUCCAGCUCAGUGCCCACCAUGGAAAGUUAGGGCUCUGUGUCAAAAUCGUCUCCCCUGGGGCUGAAACCCACAGCAUCCAGAAGAGACGCUGGUUCCCUUCUGAGACAGGCCUGGGUCUUUCAGUGAUGAUGGUCUGAAUCACUCCACUAGGCAAGCACCCUAGGCCUGCUGAAGUGCAGGCUGAGCAUGGGGGGAACUCAGAGUGGGUAACUGAGGAAGGAGAUGUUGACUAUCAAUUACAACCUGGGGACCACCUACAACAAUGAGACUGGAACUUGGCCCACUAACCCGCCUCUGUUAAGUCUUGAGGCGAUGGCAGUGAGCAAUCUUGAGGUGGAGCAGAAAUAGCGAUGGGCAUCACUGGAUGCCUGGCUAAGGACGGGCUGUCUAAGAUGCCUUGUGCCCUUCCUUCCCUCACCCAUUGCUGAAGGACCAACUUCACACAGGUGUAAACUUUCAACCCCUCCUCCUUCUUGCUUUCUGCACCAGGUUUUCCCUGACACCUCAGAGUGGAAGUCUGUGGGAACUCACUCAGUAUUCAUGCUUGUGCUGCUGCCUGCAUGGGGGCAACACCCAUGGGUGAGCCUUGACCGAUGGGGAUUGGAGUUAGUGGACAUAUCCCUCCCUCUCCCAUCCAUUCAGUGGAAGAUGCUGAGGCACCUUCUACACAGCUCCUCAGAGGGUCCCAGUGGGACCGAGCCCCCACUGUGGUAACAAGCUCGAUAAGCUCCUUGCAUUGCUUUUCCCGGUUUUCCUGUUACACUCUUUCCAUCCCCCUACUCCUCUCUCCUAGAAUAACUUCCCCAAAUAAAUUACAUGCUAGUAAGCCCUUAUCUUAGGCUGUGCUUUCUAGGAGAACCCACGCUAAGAUUAGUACGUAUCCCACUCUAUGUAAAUAUCAUAAGCCUGUCUCCUUAUCAUUAUAAACUAUAUAAACAUUUUUAAUGGUUGUAACAUAAAGCAGACUCUAGAGCCGCACUGCCUGUCAAAUAACUGCCUGGUAAGGAAACUUGGACAAGUUAUUUAAUUUUUUGGUGUCGGUUUUCUUAUACAUAAAAUGGUGAUAAUAGUAAUAAUACUCUCCCAGGGUUAUUGAGAGAAUUAAUAUGUUAAUUCAGAUUAAGUGCUUUCAACUUUGCCUGGCAUAGAAUAGCUAACACAUUGUGCUUUCUAUUAUUUUUAUGACAACAAAUUGGCUAAUUACAAUUUUUCCACUGUUUCCACAAUUUUUCCACUGUUGAAAAAUGCACUGUGUGACCCAUAUCAGCAUGAAUAGGGGCCACCGAUAACAAUGCGCACUGCGUGAACCAUCCCUGCUAAAUCACGUCUGCGUUUAAGAGGUCCUGAGGACAGAUUCCUAGAAGCAGGAUUUCUGGGUCCAAUACACCAUGCCUGCUGCAACUUCAGAACUUCACACUGCAGUGUGACAGCUUCUUACUGCCUGCGCCCCGCAAGAUAGAAACACUUGGGGGAAGGAACCAGG